AGUCGUAAUGCUGACUGCAGAGGGGUGUGAUAGCAGUAAGGUGUUUCCCUCGGACAGCCAGCAUCUGCAGCG
rnacentral:precursor_RNA from 1 species